UGAUGUGGAUUAUUUAUUAAGCUGAGUCUCAGCGAUAAAAGUGAUGAAAAACCUUUUAAAUCAUAAAAGAUAGUAGAUUUUAUUCUCUACUUGACUCUUUUAAUGGAUUGCUUGUUCCACUGCAGUUAAACUUGAUGGUUGUUAUAUUGUAUCAGUUUAACACUGUUAAAGGCUAAAUAUAAUAUAUUCUGCAUUAUCUUAGUAAUAAUAUUUCCUACUGGGCUAGUUGAGCUCACCCUUUUACUUUCAUUGUCAGGAAAUGAGAACGUAGCAGGGACUAGUCUGGGAACGGAGUGACGUGCCAGAUGAUAGCAUUAGUAAUCCUCACUAUUCUGUCAAAUAGUGUGAUAAUAAUUAUAAUGAGGACUCCUUUUGAGUUUGUAUAAUCUCUAGUAGACAAUAUUUGCAUUCAAACUCACAGCUUAUGUUUUGUCGUAUUGUACAAGACAGUUGUAUUAUUAACUUGUAUUUGAAUUUAUGUACCAUGUAAGUGGCAACCCAAGAUGGGUGACGUAUACCUAAUUUUGGGGGCGUCACACUGUCUAUGCGAAGUACCGCAUGCAUGGUGAUUUCUUUUGUUAUUCCAUUCUUCAUUAUACUCAGUUGGUUAAAGUUUUGACUUCUAUAUUCCAUGAAAUUAGUAGAAUAUCCUUGGUAUUUGCGCUUCAUCCAG
rnacentral:lncRNA from 1 species